rnacentral:rRNA from 1 species
UUUAUGGAGAGUUUGAUCCUGGCUCAGGAUGAACGCUGGCGGCGUGCCUAAUACAUGCAAGUCGAGCGAACGGACGAGAAGCUUGCUUCUCUGAUGUUAGCGGCGGACGGGUGAGUAACACGUGGAUAACCUACCUAUAAGACUGGGAUAACUUCGGGAAACCGGAGCUAAUACCGGAUAAUAUUUUGAACCGCAUGGUUCAAAAGUGAAAGACGGUCUUGCUGUCACUUAUAGAUGGAUCCGCGCUGCAUUAGCUAGUUGGUAAGGUAACGGCUUACCAAGGCAACGAUGCAUAGCCGACCUGAGAGGGUGAUCGGCCACACUGGAACUGAGACACGGUCCAGACUCCUACGGGAGGCAGCAGUAGGGAAUCUUCCGCAAUGGGCGAAAGCCUGACGGAGCAACGCCGCGUGAGUGAUGAAGGUCUUCGGAUCGUAAAACUCUGUUAUUAGGGAAGAACAUAUGUGUAAGUAACUGUGCACAUCUUGACGGUACCUAAUCAGAAAGCCACGGCUAACUACGUGCCAGCAGCCGCGGUAAUACGUAGGUGGCAAGCGUUAUCCGGAAUUAUUGGGCGUAAAGCGCGCGUAGGCGGUUUUUUAAGUCUGAUGUGAAAGCCCACGGCUCAACCGUGGAGGGUCAUUGGAAACUGGAAAACUUGAGUGCAGAAGAGGAAAGUGGAAUUCCAUGUGUAGCGGUGAAAUGCGCAGAGAUAUGGAGGAACACCAGUGGCGAAGGCGACUUUCUGGUCUGUAACUGACGCUGAUGUGCGAAAGCGUGGGGAUCAAACAGGAUUAGAUACCCUGGUAGUCCACGCCGUAAACGAUGAGUGCUAAGUGUUAGGGGGUUUCCGCCCCUUAGUGCUGCAGCUAACGCAUUAAGCACUCCGCCUGGGGAGUACGACCGCAAGGUUGAAACUCAAAGGAAUUGACGGGGACCCGCACAAGCGGUGGAGCAUGUGGUUUAAUUCGAAGCAACGCGAAGAACCUUACCAAAUCUUGACAUCCUUUGACAACUCUAGAGAUAGAGCCUUCCCCUUCGGGGGACAAAGUGACAGGUGGUGCAUGGUUGUCGUCAGCUCGUGUCGUGAGAUGUUGGGUUAAGUCCCGCAACGAGCGUACCCUUAAGCUUAGUUGCCAUCAUUAAGUUGGGCACUCUAAGUUGACUGCCGGUGACAAACCGGAGGAAGGUGGGGAUGACGUCAAAUCAUCAUGCCCCUUAUGAUUUGGGCUACACACGUGCUACAAUGGACAAUACAAAGGGCAGCGAAACCGCGAGGUCAAGCAAAUCCCAUAAAGUUGUUCUCAGUUCGGAUUGUAGUCUGCAACUCGACUACAUGAAGCUGGAAUCGCUAGUAAUCGUAGAUCAGCAUGCUACGGUGAAUACGUUCCCGGGUCUUGUACACACCGCCCGUCACACCACGAGAGUUUGUAACACCCGAAGCCGGUGGAGUAACCUUUUAGGAGCUAGCCGUCGAAGGUGGGACAAAUGAUUGGGGUGAAGUCGUAACAAGGUAGCCGUAUCGGAAGGUGCGGCUGGAUCACCUCCUUU